GUGUCAUGUCAAACACAACUGACUCAGUGUGGACUCUCAGAGACUCACUGUGAAGUUGUGGCCUCAGCUCUGAAGUCCAACCCCUCCCAUCUGACAAAGCUGGACAUGAGUGGAAACAAGCUGCAGGAUUCAGGUGUGAAGCUUCUGUGUGCUGGACUGGAGAGUACAAACUGUCGACUGAAGACUUUUGUCUUGAAGGACUGUGGUUUGUCAAAGAUCAGCUGUGCUUACCUGGCAGCAGCACUGAAGUCCAACCCAUCGUAUCCCAGAGUACUGGACCUGAGUGGAGACUACAACAACCUGCAAGAUUCAGGAGUGAAGCAGCUGUGUGGUUUUCUGGAGAAUCCACGAUGUCGAUUUGAAACUCUGAGGUCAGUCAUCAUGUUUUUGUUGUGCUGACACUGUGGAUCGGUAGGCCCACAGACCCCUAUACAGGAAGUCUUGUUCUACUCUUUGUAGAACAUCUGAUCCCUGAUCAGGGAUCAGUAGAUAAUGCAGAGUUCUGAGCUGACGUGUGUGACGGGACUCGGGCAGCCUGACAGACUUAAUGUCCAUGUCUUCCCUGCUUAUCCUGAUACCAAUUGACAUGAGUGUCCUUGCAGGUCAGAUCUUAUCAGUCACACCUGUUA